rnacentral:rRNA from 1 species
AAAGGAAUAGACGGGCACCCGCACAAGCGGUGGAGCAUGCUGUUUAAUUCGAAGAUACGCGAAAAACCUUACCUAGACUUGACAUCCCGCUGACCGCUCUGGAAACAGAGUUUUCCCUUCGGGGACAGCGGUGACAGGUGGUGCAUGGUUGUCGUCAGCUCGUGUCGUGAGAUGUUCGGUUAAGUCCGAUAACGAGCGCAACCCUUCUCCUUAGUUGCUAACAUUUAGUUGAGAACCCUAAGGAUACUGCCGGUGAUAAACCGGAGGAAGGUGGGGAUGACGUCAAAUCAUCAUGCCCCUUACGUCUAGGGCUACAGGCGUGCUAUAAUGGCUGGUAUAAUGAGUCGCAAUACCGUGAGGUGGAGCUAAUCUCCAAAGCCAGUCCCAGUUCGGAUUGAAGUCUGCAACUCGACUUCAUGAAGCUAGAAUCGCUAGUAAUCCCGAAUCAGAAUGUCGGGGUGAAUACGUUCCCGGGUGUUGCACACACCGCCCGU